AGACACGUGUGCAACUCUGGGGUGAAAGACACCAGCUUCUUCUGCAGAUUACCUGUAUCAUUUGGGUUUGAAGCAUAUUCUGAUGUGUCUUUGUGAAUACCAGUUUAUUCUCAAGGAUUUUAGGUUGUCUUUUCUUUUCUUUUUUUUUUUUUUCUAUUUCGUUUAGAGCUUUUCUUCCUGAUGGCUUAUCUACCGAUCAAAGCAACUUCUACCUCACCAGCAGAUACAGAGGCAACUUCUUCCAUAGAUUUCUUCACCAGUUUUCCUUAGCUGUCUCCUUGGAACAUUUGAAAUCCUCUGGUUCUUUGGCACCCAAAUAUGAAGGUCAUUUCAUCAAAGGCCUAAAAUUUUCAUAGAGAGGAUUUGAGAAAGGUGAUCUCAAUAAAAUACAAAAAAAAAAAGGAAGAAAAGCUACAGUAAAAGAAAUAUUGCUACUUAUAUAUGCAAACGAAGACUGAGGACAACUAUUAUCAGCUUUCUACUCUUAAGAAUUAUUUAAGUUGCUACUCCUACUUCUACAUUUGGACAUUGGUUUACCAUGCCAUUUUUCCUUAUAUAUAUUUAAAAAAUCUCUUAAAAAUUAAAAUGGUAGUAUGCAUGUUUUCAGGCCAAAUAUAUAUUUCCAAACUGUUCUAAAUUUGUUACUACUGUGUUUUUACUCCUGAGUAAUCAAUAACAUUGAGUAAUAAAGACAGAAUUAUUUAUGUAUAAAUAAAAAUUCUCAUGAGAAUUUUUGUCUAUUUUUCCUUUUCUGAGUUGAAAAGCAGCCAUUUUCAACAUAGCUAAUUGUUGCUACAGUAUCAUUUUAAAUUAAUGUGGUACAGUGUAUGCUGAAAUAGCAGUGGAAAAAUAUUUAAGUUUUAACAAUGCUCUACUCAGGUAAAUAUCCCUGCAGGAAUCAAAAUUAAUAAAUAUUAUCUUCAGUAUACAUAAUACAAUAUAAUAUCUUUAAUAGGAGUUGCCAUUUUACUGAAUAUCUUCCAUUUGAUGUUUGUGAAAAGUUUGUUCAUUGACAUAGCUCAAUAAUAUUCCAUUUUACAAAUAUACCACAAUUAAUUAACCUAUCCUUCUGUAGAUAGACAUAUGGGUUUCUUUCCUUAUUAUACAUCAUAUUAAACUUUUAUAUUAUGAACAGUUCAUUGAAUCUAUUGAUCCAUUUGUGGAGAAUUUAUAUCUUUAUGAUAUUGAUUUUUCUUCCUAGAGGUAUAAUAUGCCUUUCCAUUUAUUUGAAUCAUUUUUAAUGUUUUAAAAUUUAGAUACAUUUAAUUAAUGUGUGUGUAUCUGUAUGUAAGCUUACUGCAAUGCUAAACAGGUAAAUAUUCAGAACACUCUGUAAAAAAAAAAAAAAGUUGAACUUCCACCUUAAUUACUGACUUUUUUUUAAUUAAUUGUAAGCAGAAAUGGGAUACUGUUUUCUCUGCCACAUUUCUGUCACCUGUGGUCAUAAUCCCUCGAGCUGUAUAAGGGAAGUUGUCUGUUCAAAUCAUGCAGUGUUCUUAUGUCACAAACCAAAACCUGAGUCUAUUAUGCUGAGCUAAUCUGCUUUGACCUGGGUAAUUUCCAUCCUGGGUUGAUCUGAUCUGCCAGGAGGUUUGGCCGUCAGAUUUUGGUGACUUCUGCUCCUCAGAGAAUUCUCAGAAUCCCAAAUUGCACCCCAUCUCACUAAGAGUGUGGAGAGGAAAAGACAGAAGGAUAGAAAAAGAGAAGGAGGAGGAAAAGGAAGUAUCUAUCUACAUGUUUAUAUCUAUACCUUUAUUUAUACUCACAGUAAAGGACAUUUGUCAGAAUAGCCCCCAAACACUAUUGCCGCACCAACAUCUAUUAAAAUAUAAACCAUCUUUAAUAAAUACUGAGCUGUGUAAAUAUUUAUUUGCAUGCAAAAGAAAAGCUCUUUAGUAUUCUUAAGCCAGACUGAGCAGUCAACAGAUGAUUUUGAUAAAUGUCUGUUCAUUACCUGAACAUUUCCAUUGCAAUAUAAAACAAAGAUUUCAUCUACAUUUUAUUUUUGCUCCAUGAAUGGUUCCACACUUUCUAAUCAGUGUUAUUUUUAAGAUUAAAUUUGGAUAGUAAUGUAAAUAUGGGAGGGGAAUGGGUGUCUAAGAGGAUUUUCUGGUUCAUAGUCAUUAUAAUAGUCACAAUAUACAAGAUAAUUUGUAAGUCUAGGCCCCCUUUUGCUCAGGCAGUCUAAUUCUUUAUGUCCAAGAAUUUUGUCAAAGUAAUGUUCUUCAUGCUAAUAAAUAUAAUAAAAACAUA